ensembl:lncRNA
UGCUGUAUGUUUAGACAGGCAGCACUGGCUUUCAGAUCUCCCCUGUACCUGGGUCUAAAGUUCAGAGACGUUCUGAGUUACAGAUUAAGUUACCUCCCAAAGUUCCAGAACACAGGUUUAAAACCAAUAGCCACCGUACCAUUCUGGAAGACAAUGUCUGAAGGCCUCCGUGAGCUGCUUCAGUUACAGCAAGAGCUGCUCACAAACCAGCAGAACAGUUAAAAUGUUUCCGGCCGUGGUUGCCUUCGUGGGAUCGGAGCGGCAGCCUUAAGCCUGAGGUUCACCUGGGACUCUGCCAGAGGGGGAGAGGCCACAGUGCUUUAAUGCUGAAUUCACCAGCCCUACUGGCCUGUGACCCAGAAUAUCUCUGAUUUAUACCUGAGCAGUGCUGAAUGUUGUGGUACUGAAAAAGGAACCAUUUGCGUGUCAGCAUUAAAACCAAUCUGACGGACUGCGGAAGCAGAGUGGUAAUGUGUACAAAGGGCUGCUGUUGGAAAGAAACCUUUUCUCCUAAAUGCCAUGUUUAUUUCUUCUGGUGCUGCAGCUGGGGCUUAAGCUACAGAAUAGCACACGUGUUUGAUGCUGAAGGAAACAGUUCUGCGUUUUCCCUGUCUUCUCUCAAUGCUGCUGCCCUGUAAUAGUUUCUUAUUAUUCACCCUAACGUUCAUGAGAAGUGCUGAUAUUACCAGAAAAUUCAGUGACAGGGAAAAGUUUGCAUAAACUUAAUGCAUGGUUUGAAUAACAUCAUUAGUAAGAUACUGAAAGCAUGAGGCAACAAAAGCAAUUAUGCAUAUUCUGCAAAACUGUAGUUUUUCUUUAAAGAACUGACAGACAAUAACCAAAAAGCUGAUCUUGUUCAGUCCACGGGAACAGAUCUUCCCACAGACAAGAACUUGCUAUAUAUGCUGCUUCAGAAUAUACAAGUAAAGAAGGAAUCUCAGCUAUAAAAAGGUCUACCAUAGGUAAAUAGCCACUUUAUAGGGGAUCCUUCAUAUAGAAAGAAAGGAGUUUUUGAGAGUUGCUGAGUUUUUAGGCACCUAUCACCAAAAAGGUCAUUGAGUUCUUUUUGCUCUACAGCCAGUCUGAUGUGUGGAUUUAAUCAUGUCUGGAGCCAACAGUUAGCCUGAAAUUACUUUAAGGAAUGUACAUUUUUUCAUCUUGAGUUGCUCUGGUUCAAGAACAUCUGGCUCCUUCAGGAUUUGCAUCUUAUCUCCUGCCUCCACUCCACUGCUGCAGUAUCAGCUUCUGUUGCUGCCUCCACCACAAUGUUCUGUUUCCUUUCAAGUCUUCUGCAUCUUCCAUCCUCUGCCAUGCAUUUGUUGAAUUUGACCACAGGGCAGCCGGACUGGAGGGGCCUGUGGAGACCGGUGGUCCCAGCUUGCGUUAAAUGUCAGCCUAUAGAUAAGGUUCUCUGCGUCCUCAUCUAGCCAAGGCUGUUGCCUCCUUUCCCUUAGGCCCUUGUGCAAUACCCUCCACUCCCCCUCACGUCCCUUUUGGUCCCUCAAAAACUUGCACCAGUAUUUACCACCCACCCUGCCAUGGACUACAGCCAGUCAGUCUUGUGGCCGGUGAGCCCAAUGCUAGCCAGGCCAACAGCUCACUCAGGAUGGAAAAUGGAAGGGAAAUAUGGCACUACUCUCUGUCAGCACUGAUGACGUUUUCCUUCUCCCUACACUUGCUGUUUUACGUGCAAUGUGUGUGAAACCUCACUGUCUCUGGGAACUAUACCUCUGUCAGAUGUGGCUGAACCUGGCUCAAAAGCAGCCAGGACUACACUGGCAGACAGGCGGUGUGAUCGCAGCAGCUAUACACUUAUUCCCUAAGGCUCUUGUCUGCUGCUUUGAGUGCAUCACUGUAACGUGCUGAUGUGCUCGGGUGUGCUGUGCUGGUGUGAGGGCAAAAGCAAGCCUGGAGUAUUGGCCUAUGGUCCCCUUCUAGCUAUCCAGUUCCUGGGGGGUUUAAAUGACAAAACACUGUCUCUUUCUGCAGACAGAGCCAAACCUGAACAUGAGGAUGGGAAGCUUUCCAGCACAGGCUGUCUGCAGUCUGUGCUCUGCACAGUGGGAGGAGAGCUCUCUCUUUGUGUCUCGAUGCUAACAAAAUAAACGUAAUUGUUAUUAAUGGUGAUUACUUGUAAUGGAGCUCUGUGGAGCGCAAUGAUACAAAUGUUCCCAUUAUGGUGGUUUCACAUAAACAGCAACUGCUGGCAAGCCUCCUAAUGUUUCUUUAUUAACUUUCAGACUUCUGAUGAUGCACGUAUUGUCUUCACAAACACAGUACGAAGUAAUUUCUCGACUGUGCUCGCAAGAACCUUUAUCAGUACAAUAUUUGUUUGCCAAUAAUCUUCUAGUUACGUGGAAUAAGGGCCUAAUGGGGAGAACAAGAUCGCUGUUGACAUCAGGUAAUUUUUUUCCUAAGUGGUGCUAUUGGACCGUUCUGCUUAAAGAUUUCCAAGGAGAGCCAGCCAAGUGAAGUCUAGUGAUAUUUCUGACCAAAGAGUGCCGUUCCAGCUGAGCCCAUCUGGAUCUACCUGUCCAUCACCCACGGACAGCUGACGUUGUCCAGGGCAGACACAGGGUUUUCAGGCUUGGACUGUCUCAGUCCCACAUCUGCUGUCUGACUCUACCCUGCACCUCCUGUCUGGCUUUGAGCAAAUGGCUUCAUCUUGCUGUGCAUCAUCUGCGGUAAUGAGGAGCGAGGCUAACAGGGUUUGCUUCGGUCUGUUUCAGACUGUAAGAUUUCUCUAUUGCUUUACGUACUUCUGAUGCUUACUUAGCGCGAUGAGGUUUUAACUUCCAUUGUGGCCUCUAUUUAGGCCACAAAUUUUCUGUAAAUCUUCCAGGAUCCUGUAGAUCAAAGUCUCACAGUCAGAGAGUUCUUGAAUUGCUGCAGGGAGCAUGAUGAACACUGGACAGACGCAUCCCCUCAGGGGAGGACAGACAAGUCCUAAGCCGGCCAUAAAGGCUCCUCCUCAUGAACUGAGUAGAAUUGGGCUUUUAAUUUAUGGCUUUGCUGAAUGGGGCUCUGGAACAAACUCAGCUUCAUGUAUCAUCUGGCAAAUGAAAACAACAGAAGCACAGACCUACCCUAAUCCAAUUCAGCACUGGGGUAAGGAAGGAUGCUAUGGCACCAUAGCAAGGAGGGCAUAUUCCAUAGUGACCACUACUAAGAGAGUAUUGUUUGAGCCAGCUUGUUCAGAAAGAAAGAGUGGAAAAGAGGGAAAUUACUACUGAAUGCCAAAUCUACAAAUAACAGUAACAGAUACAGUACCGGAUCAAUAGCCCUGCAUCUCUCUUUGCAGGGCCAGAAUUGCUUCUGAUCUGUCUGCUCACAGCAGAACUGUUCCAGUUUUGUCAUGAAGAGCAAAGCUUGUACUAAUCAUACUCUGUAAUAGCCACAGCGGUUGUCCCUGGGUCUGCCAUUCACCAAAAUUUAAUCUUGAUUGCUGAGAAUUUUCAUUGCAUGUAGAAAGUUGUUCCACAUGAGAGCAAGCACUGACAAACAAAACAAAACAAAAAAAACCCUAUACUUCUUUAUAAUAUAUAUUAAUAAAUAUGUGUGUGUGUGUGUGUGUAUACAUGCUAAAGUAUCUUCUAGUAUAUCUUUUAGCACCCUAAUAUUUCAUAGUCUAAUACAUAGCAGUAACCUUUCCCAUACAGGAUGUGACCAGCAAAUGUAUUGGCGUUGCUGGUAAGAACUCUGAAAUGUAACUGCAGUUGGAAGAGUUUGUAAAAACCCAAUGGUAUGAAACAAAAAUUUUCAGGCUUAAACCCCAUAAAUUUCUUUCGUUGUUCUUUUUGCUGAGUGUACCCACCUAUAUGACUGACAGUAUAUGUGAUUAGGAGUUAAUUCUCAGACAUAAUGUUCAUAUCUCUUUGUGAAUGGUACUGAGUUCUUACAAAUCUUUUGAUUUGGAGAGGGAGAAAAUGAACUAUGGUGUAGCUAUACCCAUGCAAGUUGCUGCAGGCUGUCUGCAGGCUCAGGCCACUGCUGUCCUCAAAUGACUUUGAACCAGCCUGUCUACAAAAACAAAGUUAGUGUUCCACUGCAAGUCCUCUCAGUAGCAGAUACUCCUGCUUUGGCUUCAGGACAAGUUGCGUCUUGUGUCUCUGGUGUACAUGAUGUAUUGGUUUGCAUACAUAGGUGUUAGAGCUCUUUCUUGAAAAAAAAAAUAGCUCCUCUGUAGGGCCUCACAGAGCUCUGUGGUAACCUUCUGGUGACCUUUUGUUUCUAAACAAGUGUUUUUGUGUAUGGAUGCAGUUUUUUUUUUUUUUUUUAAGAAGCAUAUGCAAGUCUGAUGAUUUGCAAUUUCUUUUAUUAGCCUUGUACUAACCAUGACGGAAUGACCGGAAAUAAAGGACAUACAGUUCACACUGUAUCUUAUAGUUCCAUUAAGUAGACAAUGGGGAAGCAAUUUGAAGUAAGUGAUUUGUAAGGCAGUUAAUUUAAAACAUAAUUUCUUAGACAGCUUGGUGAAAUUCACCAGUAUGUUUUUAAAGAAAAAAAACAAACAUCAACAGCAACAAAAAUACAACUUGAUGAUGCUUUGAAGUUUGGUUCUUACCACAGUUUGAGUAGAUUAAAAUUUAAAUCUACUGUAAUCCCAAAAACUUGAGUGUAUUUGUGCACAUGUUGUGAAGGGGCAUGAUUUCUUUACGUGUGUACUCUUAUGGAUUAGCAUGUACAGGCACAACCCAGCCCGAUGUUCCUGUGUGACUAAUGAGUAUAGCCUCCUGACCUGUUUCAAUGACUGGGAGCUACCAGGCCUUCCUGUGCACAAACCAUGAUCAAAACUGAAGCUACAAGUUUGUGAUGCAUUUGGUUGACAGCUUACUGGUAGAGCAACCAGCUCUAAUUGCAUUCCGGUUACUCCUGAGUGCUCCUUUUCAAUCUAUCUAUCACGAUGCUGCCAAAGACAGAAAUAAGCUACAGAACUGCACAACGGCAGCAGUAUGUAUUUGAUAUUCUGACCCUUGCUUCCCCUUGCAGCCCUCCAUGGUACUCCCAAGUUCAAUCACCUGAUGUAGCACUUGAUCCUUAGCUCCUUUCCCCCACAGAUAAACACUGAAGCGGUAAUUCCUGCUGCAGGAAUGUUCUUUCAUAAAUGCUUUUGAAGUGAGGAAACCUGAUCUCUUUUAAGAUAAUAUAUUAUUAGUUAGAUUUCAUUGGAAGAGGAUCCUCUAUAAACCCUGCCUAUUGUUUUCUCUCCAGACUAAAAGUUCAGUCAACUGAAACCUCAGUCCUUGGGAGUGCUGGUGAUACUUUUAAUCAUAAGUGGAAUAUUUAGAAAACUUUUCUUUCGUCUAAUAAGACCAUCCCCUUCUCUGUCAGCUCAGCUGACUUAUGACACUUUCACAACUUGGAAAUAACCUCAUGAUCUGCUGAUUUCUCUGUCAUGUCUUCUAGUAUUUGGUCUAAAUUAUCACUAGAUUAAUUAUCACUAAAUUAUCACUAUCACAAGAAAAUCUAACUAAAGCUUAUUUUGCUGAAGUCUGUGGUUUUUACUUUCAUAUAAAGUUGAAGGUGUCAGAACUAAUGUUUUUGAUGGUUCAGUAUUUACUUUAGUCCUGACCCAUGUAGUUCAUUAAGACUAGCUGAAAUAUAAAUGCUAUAGUUUACUGCAGCUAUAGUGUGGUUUUUUGAAUUUUUUUUAACCUAUAAGAAAGGUAUCUAACUAUCAACAGACAGUUUUCACAUUUGUUUUGAUCAAGAAGAGUUUCCAUGCAAUAACAUUAUUUUUUUGCCCUGUGAAAUUGACCUGUUCUGUCUUGCUACUCCAUAGGUCUAUGGUCAACAAAGGGAGUACAGUUGGACUGAUUAAAACUAUACUGACUGAUUACAACUAUACUAACUAUACUAUAAAACUAUACUGAAGGUAUUUAUAUCCCAGUACCUGGGCCGGAGCAUCAAACAUUCCCCCAGAACAUAUGCAGUACCCACCCACCACAACUUCUAUGGUUGUAACCGGGUAGGCGGGCAAUUAUGCUGAAAUUGAGACAUCUGACCCGAUGCAAAUGUGGACUAUCCUACCAUAAAAACCUUCCCAUACUGAAGAUAGAAUGAUACAGAAACAACCCUAAACACCAAAAUUCACAAUUGCAGCCGAUUCUCUUACAGAAUGUAUAGCAGAAGUUCUAAAAGCUUAAACAUGGCUACUAUCAAAAACUUUGCAAAGGAGAAUCUGACUCCUACAUCACUGCAAGUUUAUAGGUUAUGUCUUUUUUUUUUAAUGACAGAAGAAGAGUCUUGUUGAAGGGAAAAGGCUUUUAGAGGAGAUGUAUAACCACAGAGAUAUUAAGUAAAGUUUCAAGUCUCCUUAUGGGCCUAAGCUGAAAAAGUGAACUCAGGAGGUAUUAAAAAGAACUUCUGUUGAGGUCUCUGUUGUUUGGAAACAUUUUGCUCUCAAAUCUGUGCAGUGUAAAUUGCUUAUGAGGCUUUGUGGGCAGAUCUCAGCUGUUUAUUUUGCACACUGCUAAAUAUGAACUCUCAAGCCUUAGUAAAUCUACUUGCAAAUGUGCUUCGGAAACAUUUGUAAUUUUUUUCCUCUAAAUCUCCAUGUAAAAAGAAUUUCCAGACACAAACAACUGUCAGAGAAAAACAACUGUGAUUUGUUGGGGUGUGAAACUAGAGAGUGCCUAAAUUAUUUGCCUUUAUUAGAAAGCAUGUUGGCAAACAGACUGCACCUUUUAUGACCUCAGGAAGAAAUCUGCUUUAUUUCAUGCACAGUUAGCAGCUUACAGGAGAUAGUCUGCACAUCUCACCGACAGCUUUGGCAUUUGAUACAGGUUUUGCUUCAGACUGGGGGACAGAAGUGAAUUACACUACCACAAGAAUCAAUUUACACUUCACUCUUCUGAAAACUUCAGUGUCAGUGUCAUGUACAGAACAAUACCAGACCAGAGACAGUCGCUCAUUUUCCAUUUAUGAGCAACCAGAAUGAAGUUUCAUUCAUUUUGGACUUAAGCCAGUAGAAAAGAGCCUCUACAGUUGUUCACUGACAGUAUUCUCCAAGACUUUUUGGCUUGUGUAGGGCAAUGGUACUAAGCCAAAUGGUGAGAUUUCAAUUUGCUGGAUCCCACUGAAUGGCAGAAUGGGCUAGCUAGCUCAGGGCCUACUCACGCCUAUGCACUAAAGCAUUACAGAAGCAGCAGACUCUUCCCUGAAUAGACCAAAUGACCAGAUGAGAUUCAGCUGAGUCAUGAGGGAAGUCUAAACCACAGAAGUUCAUUCUCUUCAUUCAAAAGAGACGACUAAAAUAAAAAGGCCCCACUUCCAUCAUAGAAGCCUGGUUGCUACGCACAGUCCAUCAGAAACAAAAGCUCUACAACGCCCUAUGUAAUUAAUACUGUUGCAGCAGGUCGAUCUGUCACUCACAGAGUAUACUCCACUGUGGGGAGAAGCAGCAGCAAAGCAAACUUCAUCUGUCCCACAGAAGACAUUACCAAUAAACAGCAGCAGUUGCGAAAACCAGUGAGUGCCUACGUGGAUUUUGCCCAGCAAUUUGUAUAAUUGCCUGCUGAGCAGACGAAAUUAUUUUGCUUGGCUUCUGUGAGUCACGGAGCUGAUCCCUACCAUUUUCUGGAGCUCACCUGGCUAGAUGGUUAUGUCCUGGUCCUAUAAUCAAACCUAUAAAGGAAGUAUAUGGCCUGUCUUCAGGAUCAAGGAAGAUCAAGGCUGUAGUAUAAGGGUGGGGCAAACCUGAGAAUGCUUAUUAAAGGAAGAGCUGGCAAUGAUGCCUUCUGUUGAGGUCAUCCUGAGUUUUCUUAUGUUUCAAGCAUUAACACGAUGGCUUCUUUUACAUCUGUCUUUCUUCCAUGCUCUCUUAUUUUUAGAGUAAGAAGAGGUGAAAAGGUCCCAGGAUUCUAAAUGUUCAAACUUGCGACUGUCACCUCUUUUUCUUGCUCUCACGCUGAAGUCACAUCCUAAGAGAUUUCAAGAAUCUGUCAUAGGAUCAUAGAGUGGCCUGGGUUGGAAAGGACCACAAAGAUCAUGUAGUUUCAACCCACUGCUAUGCACAGGGUCGCCAACCACUAGACCAGGCUGCCCAGAGCCACAUCCAGCCUGGCCUUGAAUGCCUCCAGGGAUGGGGCAUCCACCAGUCA